rnacentral:rRNA from 1 species
AUGCCCAAUGGGGCACAAGCCUCGACUGAGGAAGGCGAGGCGAGCGGGGGCGAGGCGAGCGGGGGCGAGAGCCAGGAAGAGGAGGAAUGGGACUCGGAAGCUGCAGGGGAUGAUGACGACGACGAUGAUGAUGAAGGUGAUGAAGAUGACAUCGAGGACGAGGAAGAAGAGGAGGAGGAGGUCGUUCCACCGCGCUCAGAAAGGCGGUCGAAGCUUGUCCACGACCCUUCGACCGAACGUGGUAAGGGGGUUGCGACCGCCACUCAGUCGACCAAGCGCCCUCGGACCACCUCUCCGGCGCCGACUGAAAAGGCGCCGAAGCAGCCCAGGGCGGCCUCAUCGAAGCCGACCAAGCUCCUGCCGAAGAUGAAGGUGUCCAUCCCCACCAUAUCAGGGUAA